GUAGUCCCCAGGCCUGCUCGGGCCCACGUCGUCGGAGACUAGCAGGAACCGCCUCCUCCCCUUUGCAUAUCGGGGAAGUGUAGUUCUCAAGAGCAUUGUGGGGCCGGUUGCUGCCCGAAUCUCCCUAGGGAAUGGGACCGAGUUGGGGACCCAGACCCCCUGGCCUUCAUGGCCACAGUCCUGUCGCCGCCCCACCAAAAGCCAAUCUCUAAGUAUCCCAGAGUCCCGGGGCCAGAGUGGAUGGGAGUGCGGGAUCGGAAGUUCCAUUUUUCAGAUGGGAAAAGUGAGGCUCAGAGAAAGGUAGAUCCCAAUUCGAGUCAGUGGUGAAGCCGACACGGGAACCGGGGGCCCUACCUAGUCUGAAUCUGGAACGAUGAAGGUGGUGAUGAUUGUGCCUGUAGCCAAGACCGGGAGAACCCUGGACCCCUACAUCUUCCCCACCCCUGGAAUGUCACUAUACAUAUCUGACUUCCUUCUGAUGUUGCCUUUGACCCUAAAGUCAAUAUGAUAAAGUAACAAGAAGCUGGGACAGAGGAACAAACACAGCCCACUCACGUAGUGGUGGCAACAUUCUGUUAGAAAGGAGGGGAGUCAAAUAAAAAAACACCCCUCCCCCAAUUUCCUUGAUCACCUCCCUAAAGACAGAGGAGAACAUGGACACCCUCCAUCCUGGCAGACAUGCCGUGUGGUCAGUUUGUGCGGU
rnacentral:antisense_RNA from 1 species